GAGAUAGAUUAGCAUUAGCAAGGAGUCCACAAGCACUCCUAAGAACUGGGCUGAAGGGACCAGCUGUGAACACGGGUCUCCAACCAGCAGGCUCUUCGAACUCUUCGAAAUGCUUUUCUUUGCACCAGCAUGCAAACACUGCCCUGCUUGGGUUCUUCAUUAGCAAAAACCUAUAAUCCACCAGUCUGUGCAGACUCCAACAGCAACCUGCAGCUGGCUGAGCUGCUCCAUGCACCAGUGACACAGAGUGCCAGCCUUUGGGGGAAGAGACACCUUCUUGCAAUUUGCUUUAUAUAAAGCUAUUUUGCAUAGUAAAGCCAAAGUCCAGGAAGAUGGAAGUGAUAAAAUGCACAUUAUGAAUACUAUGAUCCUCCUAGAAAUCUUGCUGAAGAAAUGCAGGAAAUCAGCAAUAUCAACAGCCACAGCCAAGCAACAGUUUAGGGAUGGCAUUUGCUAAAAGUCAACAGCCAUC